CAGAGGGACUAGGAUCCUAAAUUGUUCCUUGGACUUCACUUCGCUUUUGCUGUUCAACCGUUCUGCGUGUUGUGCUGCCCUGUCACAGAGUACCUUUUUUUUACCUGCUUUGUUUUUGCCACAGUAGUACUUUCUAUCUUUGAAGAGUAUCCGUAAAGAGGAGUUGACCAAAAUCCCUCCUGAGAUGUGCGCAACCCUGGUGACCUACUUUCCUCAGCUUCUACAACAGGUCACUCAUACUGUCCCUCAUCUGUGUGUUGACUGACAUGGACUCGGGCUCAUUUUCAGCGCACACAAGGAAAAAGAUGGAUUACCAUAAAAGCUCGGCAAGGAGCACCUUGAGACCAAAUGAAGAGGAGGCAGUCGGAGCGUUGCGAAGUGUAACACUGUGCACUCUGCAGCACUCCCCACCCACACAGGACCAUACGCAUGCAGUGUGAGAACGUGUCUGCCGCCCGUAUGGCUUUGAACACUGGGAAACCGAGGUGAGCGUAUAGCUGCAGAGGCUGGAUAAAUCAUGUCCUGAUGAUG